GCCAAGGUGGGACAGCGGUUACUCCAAGAGGUUGCUAACCUCUCUUCGCGCAAGCGAUUCCCAGGUUCAAAUCCUGGCCUUGGCG
rnacentral:tRNA from 1 species